rnacentral:rRNA from 1 species
GAGGAAUAUUGGUCAAUGGGCGAGAGCCUGAACCAGCCAAGCCGCGUGAAGGAUGACUGUCUUAUGGAUUGUAAACUUCUUUUAUACGGGAAUAACAAGAGUCACGUGUGACUCCCUGCAUGUACCGUAUGAAUAAGCAUCGGCUAACUCCGUGCCAGCAGCCGCGGUAAUACGGAGGAUGCGAGCGUUAUCCGGAUUUAUUGGGUUUAAAGGGUGCGUAGGCGGUUUGUUAAGUCAGCGGUGAAAUCUAGAGGCUCAACCUCGAAACUGCCGUUGAAACUGGCGAACUUGAGUGUAGAUGAGGUAGGCGGAAUUCGUGGUGUAGCGGUGAAAUGCAUAGAUAUCACGAGGAACUCCAAUUGCGAAGGCAGCUUACUAAGGUACAACUGACGCUGAAGCACGAAAGCGUGGGUAUCAAACAGGAUUAGAUACCCUGGUAGUCCACGCAGUAAACGAUGAUAACUGGGCGUAUGCGAUAUACAGUAUGCUCCUAAGCGAAAGCGUUAAGUUAUCCACCUGGGGAGUACGCCGGCAACGGUG